rnacentral:rRNA from 1 species
UGGGGAAUAUUGGACAAUGGAGGAAACUCUGAUCCAGCAAUUCUGUGUGUGUGAAGAAGGUUUUAGGACUGUAAAACACUUUUAGUAGGGAAGAAAAAAAUGACGGUACCUACAGAAGAAGCAACGGCUAACUACGUGCCAGCAGCCGCGGUAAUACGUAGGUCCCGAGCGUUGUCCGGAGUUAUUGGGCGUAAAGCGAGCGCAGGCGGUUAGAAAAGUCUGAAGUGAAAGGCAGUGGCCCAACCAUUGUAGGCUUUGGAAACUGUUUAACUUGAGUGCAGAAGGGGAGAGUGGAAUUCAAUGUGUAGCGGUGAAAUGCGUAGGUAUAUGGAGGAACACCAGUGGCGAAAGCGGCUCUCUGGUCUGUAAAUGACGCUGAGGCUCGAAAGCGUGGGGAGCGAACAGG